GUCAGUGUGACCUGAAGCUCAGGCAGCUCUUCCUGGGGGAGAACAACCCAGAACAGGAAUAAAAAAGGAGAUUCACCCUCAGUGGAACCAGGACCUCAAAACUGAGGAUAAACCCCCACAAUUCCUGUGAAAGGGAAGAUGUUAAGUGCAAUCCAUGAGGAAUUCCCUGACUCAGGGAGAUUUUGCCUUGAGGUCAAUGUGACCUGAACCUCAGGCAGUUCUAGCUGGCAGAGAACAACCCAGAUCAGGAAUAAAAAGGAGAUUCACCCCCAGUGGAACCAGAAUGUCAGAACUGAGGAUAAACCCCCACAAUUUCUGUGAAAGGGGAGAUGUUAAAUGCAAUUCAAGAGGAGGAAUUCCCUGACACAGGGAGAUUUUGCCUUGAGGUCAGUGUGACCUAAGCUCAGGCAGCUCUUCCUCGGGGAGAAAAACCCAGAUCAGGAAUAAAAAAAGAGAUUCACCCCCAGUGGAACCAGAAUGUCAGAAUUGAGGAUAAAUCACCCCCCAAUUCCCAUGAAAGGGGAGGAAUUCCCUGACACAGGGAGAUUUUGCCUCGAGGUCAGUGUGACCUGAAGGUCCAAGCUCAGGCAGCUUUUCCUGGGGGAGAACAAACCAGA